UACGUAGGGUGCAAGCGUUGUCCGGAAUUAUUGGGCGUAAAGAGCUCGUAGGCGGUUUGUCGCGUCUGCUGUGAAAACUCGGGGCUUAACUCCGGGCCUGCAGUGGGUACGGGCAGACUAGAGUGCGGUAGGGGAGACUGGAAUUCCUGGUGUAGCGGUGAAAUGCGCAGAUAUCAGGAGGAACACCGGUGGCGAAGGCGGGUCUCUGGGCCGUAACUGACGCUGAGGCGCGAAGGCGUGGGGAGCGAACGGG
rnacentral:rRNA from 1 species